CGGAAUUAUUGGGCGUAAAGAGCUCGUAGGCGGUCUGUCGCGUCGGAUGUGAAAAUCCAGGGCUCAACCCUGGACCUGCAUUCGAUACGGGCAGACUAGAGUUCGGUAGGGGAGACUGGAAUUCCUGGUGUAGCGGUGAAAUGCGCAGAUAUCAGGAGGAACACCGGUGGCGAAGGCGGGUCUCUGGGCCGAAACUGACGCUGAGGAGCGAAAGCGUGGGGAGCAAACAGG
rnacentral:rRNA from 1 species